CCUACGGGCGGCAGCAGUGAGGAAUAUUGGUCAAUGGGCGAGAGCCUGAACCAGCCAAGUCGCGUGAGGGAGUACUGCCCUAUGGGUUGUAAACCUCUUUUGUCGGGGAGCAAAAGCCGGACGUGUCCGGCUGUGAGAGUACCCGAAGAAAACGCAUCGGCUAACUCCGUGCCAGCAGCCGCGGUAAUACGGAGGAUGCGAGCGUUAUCCGGAUUUAUUGGGGUUAAAGGGUGCGCAGGCGGAUUUUUAAGUCAGCGGUCAAAUCGUGGGGCUCAACCCCAUCCAGCCGUUGAAACUGGGGAUCUAGAGUGUGCGAGAGGUAUGCGGAAUGCGUGGUGUAGCGGUGAAAUGCAUAGAUAUCACGCAGAACCCCGAUUGCGAAGGCAGCAUACCGGUGCACAACUGACGCUCAGGCACGAAAGCGUGGGUAUCGAACAGGAUUAGAUACCCUGGUAGUC
rnacentral:rRNA from 1 species